rnacentral:rRNA from 1 species
AUACGUAGGUGACAAGCGUUAUCCGGAUUUACUGGGCGUAAAGGGCGUGUAGGCGGUCUUGCAAGUCAGAAGUGAAAUUCCUGAGCUCAACUCGGGCGCUGCUUCUGAAACUGCAGGACUUGAGUGCUGGAGGGGAUAGCGGAAUUCCUAGUGGAGCGGUAAAAUGCGCAGAUAUUAGGAAGAACACCGGUGGCGAAGGCGGCUAUCUGGACGGUAACUGACGCUGAGGCGCGAAAGCGCGGGGAGCAAACAGGAUUAGAUACCCUGGUAGUCCACCCCGUAAACGAUGAAUACUAGGUGUAGGGGGUAUCGACUCCCUCUGUGCCGCAGUUAACACAAUAAGUAUUCCGCCUGGGGAGUACGGCCGCAAGGUUGAAACUCAAAUGAAUUGACGGGG